CCUUACUCCUGACAAAACUCACCGAUGAGUUUUGUCACUUCGUGACAUAUGUCACCGAGUUUUAGUGACAUCGUACUCUUGAUACGUGAGAAAAAACGUGUGUGAGUUCUAUCAUCAAGUGACUUAUUUUUAUGACUGACGUACUCCUGACAAGUGAGAAAUUUGUCACACACGAUAAAAGCCGUUCACAAAUCAGUGAGUGGCAACGAUCAGAAAAACAGUGGUGACUUUUGUACCAAAGCUUUUAUACAUGUGUUAAUAGUGUAAAUGGGAGUAUUCUUGUAAAUCAAAACAUUUUCAGAAGUACAUCUCAAGGCGGCAGCAAAUAAAAAAAAACCAUUUACCCAAUAUAAAAUGGAUGAACUUCACAUGGCCGAUAUUUUAGAAGAACUGGAAGAUGCUGAAGAAGAUAAUGCAAUUGUUCCAGCUUUACGGGUUACAAUUGAUCCGUUGGAGACAUUACCGGAAAAUCAAUUUGUUAAAAUCUUUAGGGUGUCAAAAAUUUUAUUUAGAUUUAUUGUGGGGUUACUUGCACCAUUUAUGCGUCCUCAAAAUCG